AGGAGCUUGUAGAGGACCAUAAGGAGGAGCUGACGACGGAAGAACUUGCUGAACUCCAGAUGGAGCAGCAGAAGGUGCUUGUUGAGGAGCAUUCCACUGAGGAAGAGGAAGACGGGGAGGAGGUUAGCACGGAAAUGAUAAAAUCUA